rnacentral:rRNA from 1 species
AGUGAACGCUGGCGGUAGGCCUAACACAUGCAAGUCGAACGGCAGCACAGUAAGAGCUUGCUCUUACGGGUGGCGAGUGGCGGACGGGUGAGGAAUACAUCGGAAUCUACUUUUUCGUGGGGGAUAACGUAGGGAAACUUACGCUAAUACCGCAUACGACCUACGGGUGAAAGCAGGGGAUCUUCGGACCUUGCGCGAUUGAAUGAGCCGAUGUCGGAUUAGCUAGUUGGCGGGGUAAAGGCCCACCAAGGCGACGAUCCGUAGCUGGUCUGAGAGGAUGAUCAGCCACACUGGAACUGAGACACGGCCCAGACUCCUACGGGAGGCAGCAGUGGGGAAUAUUGGACGAUGGGCGCAAGCCUGAUCCAGCCAUACCGCGUGGGUGAAGAAGGCCUUCGGGUUGUAAAGCCCUUUUGUUGGGAAAGAAAAGCAGCAGGUUAAUACCCCGCUGUUCUGACGGUACCCAAAGAAUAAGCACCGGCUAACUUCGUG